rnacentral:rRNA from 1 species
UACGGAGGGUGCAAGCGUUAUCCGGAUUCACUGGGUUUAAAGGGCGCGUAGGUGGUCAAGUAAGUCAGUGGUGAAAUCUCCGGGCUUAACCCGGAAACUGCCAUUGAUACUAUUUGUCUUGAAUACUGUGGAGGUCAGCGGAAUAUGUCAUGUAGCGGUGAAAUGCUUAGAUAUUGGGAAGAACACCAGCGGCGAAAGCGCGCUACUGGGCCAUUACUGACACUCAUGGACGAAAGCUAGGGGAGCGAAAGGG